UACCGAGGGGGCAAGCGUUGUUCGGAAUUACUGGGCGUAAAGGGCGCGUAGGCGGCCUGCUAAGUCGAACGUGAAAUCCCUGGGCUCAACCCAGGAACUGCGUCCGAUACUGGUUGGCUUGAAUCCGGGAGAGGGAUGUGGAAUUCCAGGUGUAGCGGUGAAAUGCGUAGAUAUCUGGAGGAACACCGGUGGCGAAGGCGACAUCCUGGACCGGUAUUGACGCUGAGGCGCGAAAGCCAGGGGAGCAAACGGG
rnacentral:rRNA from 1 species